UACGUAGGGGGCAAGCGUUGUCCGGAUUUAUUGGGCGUAAAGAGCGUGUAGGCGGCUGGGUAGGUCCGCUGUGAAAACUCGAGGCUUAACCUCGAGACGUCGGUGGAAACCAUCCAGCUAGAGUCCGGAAGAGGAGAGUGGAAUUCCUGGUGUAGCGGUGAAAUGCGCAGAUAUCAGGAAGAACACCCGUGGCGAAAGCGGCUCUCUGGCCCGAUACUGACGCUGAGGUGCGAAAGCGUGGGGAGCAAACAGG
rnacentral:rRNA from 1 species